UGAGUAACCUGCCCUUAACUCUGGGAUAAGCCUGGGAAACUGGGUCUAAUACCGGAUAGGAGCGUCCACCGCAUGGUGGGUGUUGGAAAGAUUUAUCGGUUUUGGAUGGACUCGCGGCCUAUCAGCUUGUUGGUGAGGUAAUGGCUCACCAAGGCGACGACGGGUAGCCGGCCUGAGAGGGUGACCGGCCACACUGGGACUGAGACACGGCCCAGACUCCUACGGGAGGCAGCAGUGGGGAAUAUUGCACAAUGGGCGAAAGCCUGAUGCAGCGACGCCGCGUGAGGGAUGACGGCCUUCGGGUUGUAAACCUCUUUCAGUAGGGAAGAAGCGAAAGUGACGGUACCUGCAGAAGAAGCACCGGCUAACUACGUGCCAGCAGCCGCGGUAAUACGUAGGGUGCGAGCGUUAUCCGGAAUUAUUGGGCGUAAAGAGCUCGUAGGCGGUUUGUCGCGUCUGUCGUGAAAGUCCGGGGCUUAACCCCGGAUCUGCGGUGGGUACGGGCAGACUAGAGUGCAGUAGGGGAGACUGGAAUUCCUGGUGUAGCGGUGGAAUGCGCAGAUAUCAGGAGGAACACCGAUGGCGAAGGCAGGUCUCUGGGCUGUAACUGACGCUGAGGAGCGAAAGCAUGGGGAGCGAACAGGAUUAGAUACCCUGGUAGUCCAUGCCGUAAACGUUGGGCACUAGGUGUGGGGACCAUUCCACGGUUUCCGCGCCGCAGCUAACGCAUUAAGUGCCCCGCCUGGGGAGUACGGCCGCAAGGCUAAAACUCAAAGGAAUUGACGGGGGGCCCGCACAAGCGG
rnacentral:rRNA from 1 species